UGAACGCUGGCGGCGUGCCUACUACAUGCAAGUCGAGCGACCAGACGAGGAGCUUGCUCCUCUGACGUUAGCGGCGGACGGGUGAGUAACACGUGGAUAACCUACCUAUAAGACUGGGAUAACUUCGGGAAACCGGAGCUAAUACCGGAUAAUAUAUUGAACCGCAUGGUUCAAUAGUGAAAGACGGUUUUGCUGUCACUUAUAGAUGGAUCCGCGCCGCAUUAGCUAGUUGGUAAGGUAACGGCUUACCAAGGCGACGAUGCGUAGCCGACCUGAGAGGGUGAUCGGCCACACUGGAACUGAGACACGGUCCAGACUCCUACGGGAGGCAGCAGUAGGGAAUCUUCCGCAAUGGGCGAAAGCCUGACGGAGCAACGCCGCGUGAGUGAUGAAGGUCUUCGGAUCGUAAAACUCUGUUAUUAGGGAAGAGCAAAUGUGUAAGUAACUAUGCACGUCUUGACGGUACCUAAUCAGAAAGCCACGGCUAACUACGUG
rnacentral:rRNA from 1 species